AGCUUUCUCCACCUACACCGAUCGCAUGAAGGAGGUCUGGCUGCUGGGACCUCCCAGGGUACAGAGCUGAUUCACUUCAACCAGCAUCCAGGGGCGUACCUUGGAGAGCCAGGAUGGAGGGGGAGUAGGGGAAUUGCUCUUUUGUUAAAUGCAACUUGGGCUUAUUUGGAAGCAGAAAAGAAAAAGAAAGAGAAAAAAAAGGUUCUGAAAAAGAAUCAUGAGUUGCUCCAUGUAAUCUCAGAGAGAACAGGAGCUGUUUGCCUUACUACUCAAAGUAUGGUCCAUGGACCAGCAACAUCAGCCUCACCUAAGAGAUUGUUGGGAAUUCAGAAUCUCAGGCCCCACUCUGGACCUGCUAAAGUACAACCUGCAUUUCACCCUGAUUUCCAGGCUUUUCAUUACACCUUGGGAAGCGCUGACUUACUCAUCCUAACUGAAGCUCUGUUGAGACCUGGGUCUUCUUUGCAGACAUGAAGAGAGGGCGUGGAAUGAGCAGAAGUAGCCACCUUAGCAUCAGGAGUCCUCUUCUAGGGGUGCCCUGGGGACUGAGGACUCCUCCAUCUUCCUACUCCUGCUUCCUCUGUAUUGAUAGAAGAGUCCUUUUUACUGCUGGACCUGGUGAGUACUCUGCAAUUGUGUGUUGAGAUGUGAGAAGUUACCGCUCCGUGUCGUGGGGGCAGGAAGGACAAAACCACUUCACACCUUACUGGGGGAUUAUGAAUUCAGGGCCAUAUUCAGGCAGUUGCUUCCUCUGGCAACCUCUCCUUAGCCCUCUUCCCCCUGGACUAGGCCUCUGGGGGUGAGGUGGCCGUGCUUCUAUCUGCCCAGUUCUGAAACCCUUUCUACCUUUCUAGGCCCCUCACCUGGGUCAAGUCUGUCAUAUUCUGCUCCCGAAACCUAGCAAGGUUCCAACUAAUCCCAUGUCUUUUCCAUAAGCUCUUUUGAAUUUUCUCGCUCCUGUAACAUCUUGGACAAGAGGCGCGUUGUUAUGCUAAAGCCAGCUUCUCCCAUGAGCCUUUCUUACACAAAUAAAAUAGAUGUUUGCCUUUGUUCCUUCCACUCCACUUUUUUACACUCCCCGCACAGGCUUUUAACAGAGUUUAUUAUAAAUGGAAAAGAACGCCACUAGCGGCUAUAAAGGGCAUCCCUGCAUUCUUCUGAUUCCAGCUCCUGCCCUUCCCUGGUGCCUGUGUUUUCGAUAAUGAAUGUCACAGGGGGACAGGGAGAUGAAUGAUGACUGAUAAGAGCGGACCAUUAUCUCCUUCAGCUCUUGGGAGCAGGUGAGGGGUGCCACCACCUGAGUUUCUGCACCGCGACAGGCAAAGCACUUUCUCUGUGGUCCUCCUGUCUAGUCCGCCUCCCCAUGAAAGAGUUUCUUUGUGAUGGAGCUGGAGGGAAGAGCACCAGACUCCAGUUCCGGGACCUGGGUUCCUGGUUUGACCUUUGCCAUCAAUGUACUGUGAGGCAGUGGUCAUGUGACUGAAGCUUUCUGGGCCUCAGUUUUCUUCUGGGUAGAGAAGCUUGUUCUUCCUGCUUCACAAGAUUGCAUGAGUCUAUAUGUUAAGAUAUUCUUCCUUGGAUAAAGAAAUACAUAGUUCCUGCUGUCUUCCUGAAAGUGCCUGCCAUUGGUUACAGUUCUGUCCUGUGGGGCUCCAGAGGACAAGGCUAAGCUGCCUUACACCAACGAUGAUGAGAUAAUAGACGUGCAAACACUUGGUAGACUGUAAAGUGCUGUGCCUGUGUGCAGCAUUGUCAUUGCCAUGACCCAUGAGUCUGCUGGUCCACUGUGGGGUGCUGAGAAAAAGAAGAAGGGGAAACUAGGAAGCUUCUGUAGGCCAGGGGAGAGGCUAUGGGGAGAAGAAUCUCAGGUCGGAUAAAAUUUGGGUAAGAAGGGAAGGGAGGAUGCAAUGAUUAAAAAACGGUCAGUGCAUUGGACAUGAUAACUGUAAAAUGCUUGGCAUCCUUCAUAUGUUUUGUUGUAUUUUAUUUUGUUUGAUUUUUAUUUUAUUUUGAGACAGUGUCUUGCUCUGUUGUUGCCCAGGCUGGAGUGCGGUGGCAUGAUCUCGACUCACUUCCACCUCCACCUCCCGGGUUCAAGUGAUUCUCCUGCCUCAGCCUCCUGAGUAGCUGGGAUUACCACACCCAGUUAAUUUUUUUGUAUUUUUAGUAGAGACGAGGUUUUGCCAUGUUGGCCAGGCUGGUCUCAAACUCCUGGGCUCAAGUGAUCCACUAGCUUGGCCUCCCAAAGUGCUGGGAUUACAGGCAUGAGCCACUGUGCCCAGACCUUCAUAUGUUUUAAAUUUGGACUUCACCCCUUCUUCCUUACUUCUGAACUUAGGGUUGUCCAAGUCCCUCUUGAUAUGAUAAAAGAUUUAAGCUCAAGGUUCCUGUCUCCUUAACUAUUUCAGUUGUCACUAAGAUGAUCACUUUCUUUGAAAACCACACUUUACACCUGUUGAUAUUGUCUAGCGUUGCAUUGUCCAUUUCUUUUUGCCAGCGUGUUUUAUGUUGGGCUAGCAUAGCUUAAAGUCAACCCAUGCAUCUUUUCUCUCUUGAGCUAGUACCAAUUUGGCUCUCACUAUUUUUCCAUUUUAUAUUUAAGAUAAGGGAAGAAAUUUUCUGUAAUAAAUAUUUUUUAAUAAUGUAAAAUUUCAAUGGCUUAAACAGGCAUGAUGAGGC
rnacentral:lncRNA from 1 species